AGUCGUAACAAGGUUUCCGUAGGUGAACCUGCGGAAGGAUCAUUACUAAACAAAUCCAAAAAUAAUGUUGAACCGUGUGGUGAUUAGUGAUUGGUUGUGCGUGGUGCGGAUGAUGAUUGGUGCGCUACGUUGUUGGUGCUUGUGGGUAUGAGAUAGGCAAUGUGCGCACACCGUGUGUGUGUUUAAUGCCCAGCCAUCCCCUCGUAUCAGCAGCAUGCAUUUGUUAUCAAUCAGAUUCUUUCUUCUCACAAACAAUCCAUCACAAAUCACAACAAUUAUAAAACCCAAUCUUGAUGUGCGAAUGGACAACAUAUAACAAAUUAUAAAUUUAUAAAAAGCAUAACUUUUAACAAUGGAUCUCUUGGCUCUU
rnacentral:misc_RNA from 1 species